rnacentral:rRNA from 1 species
UACAGAGGGGGCAAGCGUUGUUCGGAAUUACUGGGCGUAAAGGGCGCGUAGGCGGCCUUCUAAGUCGAACGUGAAAUCCCUGGGCUCAACCCAGGAACUGCGUCCGAUACUGGAAGGCUUGAAUCUGGGAGAGGGAUGCGGAAUUCCAGGUGUAGCGGUGAAAUGCGUAGAUAUCUGGAGGAACACCGGUGGCGAAGGCGGCAUCCUGGACCGGCAUUGACGCUGAGGCGCGAAAGCCAGGGGAGCAAACGGG